UGGGGAAUAUUGCACAAUGGGCGAAAGCCUGAUGCAGCAACGCCGCGUGAACGAUGAAGGUCUUCGGAUCGUAAAGUUCUGUUGCAGGGGAAGAUAAUGACGGUACCCUGUGAGGAAGCCCCGGCUAACUACGUGCCAGCAGCCGCGGUAAUACGUAGGGGGCUAGCGUUAUCCGGAUUUACUGGGCGUAAAGGGUGCGUAGGUGGUCCUUCAAGUCGGUGGUUAAAGGCUGCGGCUCAACCGUAGUAAGCCGCCGAAACUGGAGGACUUGAGUGCAGGAGAGGAAAGUGGAAUUCCCAGUGUAGCGGUGAAAUGCGUAGGUAUUGGGAGGAACACCAGUAGCGAAGGCGGCUUUCUGGACUGCAACUGACACUGAGGCACGAAAGCGUGGGUAGCAAACAGGAUUAGAUACCCUGGUAGUCCACGCUGUAAACGAUGAGUACUAGGUGUCGGGGGUUACCCCCCUCGGUGCCGCAGCUAACGCAUUAAGUACUCCGCCUGGGGAGUACGCACGCAAGUGUG
rnacentral:rRNA from 1 species